GCCAGGCGCAGUGGUGCACAUCUGUAAUCCCAGCAGCUUGGGAGGCUGAGGCAGGAGGAUCAUGAGUUCAAAGCCAGCCUCAGCAAAAGCAGGGUGCUAAGCAACUCAAUGAGACCCUGUCUCUA
rnacentral:sRNA from 1 species